GAUGAACGCUAGCUACAGGCUUAACACAUGCAAGUCGAGGGGCAGCAUUUUAGUUUGCUUGCAAACUAAAGAUGGCGACCGGCGCACGGGUGAGUAACACGUAUCCAACCUGCCGAUAACUCGGGGAUAGCCUUUCGAAAGAAAGAUUAAUAUCCGAUAGUAUAUUAAAACCGCAUGGUUUUACUAUUAAAGAAUUUCGGUUAUCGAUGGGGAUGCGUUCCAUUAGUUUGUUGGCGGGGUAACGGCCCACCAAGACUACGAUGGAUAGGGGUUCUGAGAGGAAGGUCCCCCACAUUGGAACUGAGACACGGUCCAAACUCCUACGGGAGGCAGCAGUGAGGAAUAUUGGUCAAUGGACGAGAGUCUGAACCAGCCAAGUAGCGUGAAGGAUGACUGCCCUAUGGGUUGUAAACUUCUUUUAUAUGGGAAUAAAGUAUUCCACGUGUGGAAUUUUGUAUGUACCAUAUGAAUAAGGAUCGGCUAACUCCGUGCCAGCAGCCGCGGUAAUACGGAGGAUCCGAGCGUUAUCCGGAUUUAUUGGGUUUAAAGGGAGCGUAGGUGGAUUGUUAAGUCAGUUGUGAAAGUUUGCGGCUCAACCGUAAAAUUGCAGUUGAAACUGGCAGUCUUGAGUACAGUAGAGGUGGGCGGAAUUCGUGGUGUAGCGGUGAAAUGCUUAGAUAUCACGAAGAACUCCGAUUGCGAAGGCAGCUCACUAGACUGCAACUGACACUGAGGCUCGAAAGUGUGGGUAUCAAACAGGAUUAGAUACCCUGGUAGUCCACACAGUAAACGAUGAAUACUCGCUGUUUGCGAUAUACAGCAAGCGGCCAAGCGAAAGCAUUAAGUAUUCCACCUGGGGAGUACGCCGGCAACGGUGAAACUCAAAGGAAUUGACGGGGGCCCGCACAAGCGGAGGAACAUGUGGUUUAAUUCGAUGAUACGCGAGGAACCUUACCCGGGCUUAAAUUGCAUUUGAAUAAUCUGGAAACAGGUUAGCCGCAAGGCAAAUGUGAAGGUGCUGCAUGGUUGUCGUCAGCUCGUGCCGUGAGGUGUCGGCUUAAGUGCCAUAACGAGCGCAACCCUUAUCUUUAGUUACUAACAGGUUAUGCUGAGGACUCUAGAGAGACUGCCGUCGUAAGAUGUGAGGAAGGUGGGGAUGACGUCAAAUCAGCACGGCCCUUACGUCCGGGGCUACACACGUGUUACAAUGGGGGGUACAGAAGGCAGCUACCUGGCGACAGGAUGCUAAUCCCAAAAACCUCUCUCAGUUCGGAUCGAAGUCUGCAACCCGACUUCGUGAAGCUGGAUUCGCUAGUAAUCGCGCAUCAGCCAUGGCGCGGUGAAUACGUUCCCGGGCCU
rnacentral:rRNA from 1 species